rnacentral:rRNA from 1 species
AGGACGAACGCUGGCGGCGUGCUUAACACAUGCAAGUCGAGCGGAAAGGCCCUUCGGGGUACUCGAGCGGCGAACGGGUGAGUAACACGUGAGCAACCUGCCCUUAGCUCCGGGAUAGCUCCGGGAAACCGGAAUUAAUACCGGAUAUGACCUAGGCCGACAUCGGCUGUGGUGGAAAGUUUUUCGGCUGGGGAUGGACUCGCGGCCUAUCAGCUUGUUGGUGGGGUAAUGGUCUACCAAGGCGACGACGGGUAGCCGGCCUGAGAGGGCGACCGGCCACACUGGGACUGAGACACGGCCCAGACUCCUACGGGAGGCAGCAGUGGGAAUCUUGCGCAAUGGGCGAAAGCCUGACGCAGCGACGCCGCGUGGGGGAUGAAGGCCUUCGGGUUGUAAACCCCUUUCAGCAGGGACGAAGCGAAAGUGACGGUACCUGCAGAAGAAGCGCCGGCUAACUACGCGCCAGCAGCCGC